GGGAGGGGUCCCCGGAGCUGGGCCGUGCUGUGCCCCUUGCUGGCACUCAAGGAGUCACCCAGUAGCUUUCGGCUUCUGAGAUGCGACUGCUUUGACCCUGUCGGGGAUAGGCUGUCCGUGAGCUGGGCGGCACCCCGAGGAGUGGAGUCCACAACAGGGCAUUGCCACAGCCCCUGCCCCUGAGGCUUCCCUGGGCGCAGAGUGUGUCCCCCAAGCCCCCGUCUUCCCCGGCAGCCCAGUCUGGAAGCGCAGGUGCGCAACAUGGCCAUAGCAACAAGGAACACGAAGAAGAACCACGGCCUGUAUAGGAAUGUCCUGAUGCACGGGCCACCAGGCACCGGGAAGACUCUCGUUGCCAAGAAUCUCGCCCUGAACUUGGGCAUGGACUACGCCAUCAUGACAGCCUCCUGCUCUUCAUGGACGACGCGGACGCCUUCCUUUGGAAGCAAGCCACUCAGCUUGUGAAUGAGAACUUACGGAAGCAGGAGGAGUCGGUGCAGAAGCACCAUCAGACCUUCUUGGCAUCCAUCAGG